CUGGAUUCUUGGUUUCAACCCACCUAUGUCAUGGCCUUUGAACGUCUGAAGUUCUCCUGCUCUACUUAAUGAAUUAAGUCUGAAGAAGGUAAGUACAGACACAUCAGCUGCAAAUCCAGAUCCUCUUCCUGCUCAUAUCAGCUUUUCCGAGAACAAAUUUGCAUCUGCUUGAUUCUGCUGCCAUCUACUGGGAAAAACAAAAACAAAAAUUAAACUACAGAGGGAGGAAAUAAACAUCCUCUCUAAUCUCAGUAUGCUUUGACCUACUCUGAAAUGUGGAAUUAAAC
rnacentral:lncRNA from 1 species